rnacentral:rRNA from 1 species
GACGAACGCUGGCGGCGUGCCUAAUACAUGCAAGUUGAGCGCUGAAGGUUGGUACUUGUACCGACUGGAUGAGCAGCGAACGGGUGAGUAACGCGUGGGGAAUCUGCCUUUGAGCGGGGGACAACAUUUGGAAACGAAUGCUAAUACCGCAUAAAAACUUUAAACACAAGUUUUAAGUUUGAAAGAUGCAAUUGCAUCACUCAAAGAUGAUCCCGCGUUGUAUUAGCUAGUUGGUGAGGUAAAGGCUCACCAAGGCGAUGAUACAUAGCCGACCUGAGAGGGUGGUCGGCCAGCUUGGGAGUGAGACACGGCCCAAACGCAUACAGGAGGCAGCAGUAGGGAAUCUGCGGCAAUGGACGAAAGUCUGACCGAGAAACGCCGAGUGAGUGAAGAAGGUUUUCGGAUCGUAAAACUCUGUUGGUAGAGAAGAACGUUGGUGAGAGUGGAAAGAUCAUCAAGUGACGGUAACUACCCAGAAAGGGACGGCUAACUACGUG